GUUUAUAGAUAUUCAGCAGCACAGAAACUGCACUGUUGAAGGUUAGCAAUGACCUUUUGCAAGUUCUCGAUAGUAGUUCAUAUGCGGUGCUUGUUUUGUUGGAUUUAA